UCUCACAUCGAUCCCCUCCGCCCGACGACGCCACCGCGGUUAGGGUUCCUCCCCGGCCGCCUCACCCCCGCCGAUGGCGCCGUGCGCGGCCACCACGGGCUGUCGCCUCUCGCCUCCUCCGAUGCUCCAGCCCCAUAAGUCCCCCUCGAUCUCCUCCUCCCUGCGCGCGCCACCAUUAGGCUCCGAUCGAUUAACCGCGGCGGCUCGCCAUGUUUUGGGAUUUCGCGUGGGGGAAAGGGAUUUAGGGAUUGCACGGUGGCUCCGCGCUUCGAUGCAACGGGUACGGUUCGCUCGCGAUGUUCUCACGGGCUUGUUUCCUCGCGUGAUUGGGGAGAGAGUAGAGAGAGGGGUUAGGUGAGAGAAGUAGAGGCUUUUUGUUGCUCACUGAAACUUGGGUUUCAAUUCUUGAUUAGCAGUUUAGCACAUAUAUGAACACCACUGGUUGUUGGAACUAAUCCAGAUGCACAAGUUUGGCCGGCCAAACUUGGUCGAAUCCAGGAGACAGAAAAGGAAGCGGGUAGAGGCGGGAGGGGGUGAUUGAGGGCAGCAGAAGGGAGCGAGUGAACUGACCUGAGCGAUUGCGCUUGGAUUUCGGCAUGGCGGAGGCUUGGUUUCUUCUUCCUUGGCUGCUGUCCCUGGAGCAGUGGUGGUGGCGGCGGUGCCUAGUGUUCUAGGGUUUAGAGAGGGGUUCUCUCUCUCAUCCUGCCUUGGCUUUUGUUUAGUGUUGCGCCGCUCGACGAAGGGGAGGGGCCGCAGAGGCGCAGACCAAGCCUAAGUUGGGCUAGAGCAAGCAUAUUAGAUAGAGGCCAGAGCGGUUGAUGCAAAGGGAAACAUGCACUUGUAGUCUUGUUUCAUUGCCUUUUAGGAGUAGUAGGAGGUUAGCCGGUGACGACAUCGAUCCACCAACACCCGGCCGUUAAUGGAAUGAUCGACCCAAAUCGCUAUCCAUCUGAUGCUGUUAGUGAGCCCAUUUUUGGUAAAUUUCAGAAAAAGAAAACACAGAGAGACAGAGAGUUGUAUCUUAUUUAAAAGGAGUGUGUUUGCCUUUUAUUGUUUUAAUUAUUGUGCAUCUGAUGCCAAAGGUGAAAUGGAUGUUUACUUAUUGUGUUUUGUGAAUCUUGUGCCGUGCUGUUUUGAAAGAUUAUAAGCUGGUUCUACUUUUGGAUGUGGGAAUAGAUAAAGUGUUCCCCUGGAUUGAUCCACUUAGUUCAGUUGUCCUUGAUGAGGAUGGAAGUGUUUUUACCCUUGUGUCAGGGCUGGGAGUUGUCCUUGAUAAGGAUGGAAGAGUUAUUGCUCUGCUUUGCCAUGCUUGCAGAGAUAAUGCAUAAUUGACAUUUGUGUAAAUAAAUGGUAGUUUAUCUAUUGACGAUCUUAUUGCUGCCUUAUAGCUGCCUCGAUUAAUGUGUGAAUAAAUGUUAUUUUAUCUACUCAUAAUGCAGAAUUAAGCUGUUUUCGAACUACUUUUGCUUGUCUGCUUGCGCAAUAAUGGCAAUAUGCCAUUUAUCUUAUUAUUAGGCUCUGUUUGGGUUACAUGAUCUCUAUUAGGUUAUUGUCUGAACUGAACUACAAUUUAGUUGUUAUUUUGCUUGCCAUGUGAACCUGAUGUGUAUUCUCUAUGAUGUGAACCUGAUUUGUAUAUUAUUCAAAACCUGAUGUGUAUUGAAAACUUUAUGUUUACUUUUUGGAUCGUUAAUCCUUUAAUCAUAUUGCUUUAGGGAAAUGGCGCCACCACCACCACCAUGUCGACGGUGCAAGUCAAGGUGCGCCAACAGCCUUGCAACUGGCACGCUGUUCGACAUCCACUUCUAGUCUAGUUUUCUUCAUGCGGCGAUCAUCCCAUGCAAUGUGAGGUCAGAAUUCAACAAGCUGACCGAAGACUCUAUGACCUUUGAGGCUCCUGGGGGCCCCUACACUAUGGAGGUUGAGAAAGGACGAAAUAUGACGUAGGUGGGAGAUGGAUGGGUUUGUUUCAUCGCCCACAUGCAUAUCACCGGUGGUGAGUUGAUCAUCUUCUCCUUCAGAGCAGAAAGACCCAAGCUGGCCGUCAUUUAUGUCAACAAAGCGGAAGAUGAUGAGGAUGAUGAUGACCCACUUGAUGAAGCCAUCGUAGCUCAAAGAAUGAGGUUGAGCGAGGAGGAGGUGUGCAACCUAUGGGACAUAAUUCCGCCACGUGCUGACUUCGUCGGGAUGCCAUUCGUGGCCCGCCUGACAAGUAUCAUGGUUGAUCGACAUGUCAUGAAAUUGCCAAAGAGCCUAUCUGAGAGUUGUGGUAUCAAGCCUGAUGAAGAAGACUCUGCUGGAAUACGCCUUACCGCGAGGGGCUCCGUCACCACCCGUGUGUACGGCGUGGACACGGAUGGUCACACACACUUCAACUCGGUUGGGUGGAAGAGCUUCCUCGUCGGCAAGAAUCUUCAUGUUCGACAGGCCAUCCUAAUUACUAUCAGGAACACCCACUGCCAAGGCUUGAGGAUGAUGAUCGUCAUCGAUAUCAUCUAGAACUACAUAUGCAUGCGUGUGGCUGCUGAACCAUUUAUAUGCCAUACAACAUUGUAUAAAACUUGUUCAAAGGAGAGGAUAAGAGGACCAAAAAGGGGAAGAUCAAGAAAGGAAGGCCAUUUACCUUGCCUCAUUGCUAUGAUGUGUUGAAGGAUGAUGAUUUGGAUGAUUUGGAUUUGAGCAACAAACACAAGCGAACAAUUGAGUUGGAUGAUGAUGAUGAGGAUGAGGAUGCAUCAAGUGAUGACGGCAAGAGAAGCCCCACACCCAACUCGGUUUCAUACUCGAAGCCAAAACGACCGGAUGGGUGCAAGAAAGACGCAAAAGAAAAAAAGAAAAGGAAAGGAGAUGAU